AUUGAACGCUGGCGGCAGGCCUAACACAUGCAAGUCGAGCGAGGGGCGGACGGGAGAGUAAUGUAUGGGACGUGCGCGAUAGAGGGGGAUAACUACGAGAAACUGUGGCUAAUACCGCAUACUAUCGGAUAACCUAUAUGGGAUUAGCUAGUAGGUGGGGUAAAGGCUCACCUAGGCGACGAUCCCUAGCUGGUCUGAGAGGAUGAUCGUCCACACUGGGACUGAGACACGGCCCAGACUCCUACGGAGGCAGCAGUGGGGAAUAUUGCACAAUGGGCGCAAGCCUGAUGCAGCCAUGCCGCGUGUAUGAAGAAGGCCUUAGGGUUGUAAAGUACUUUCAGCCGGGAGGCGUUACCCGCAGAAGAAGCACCGGCUAACUCCGUGCCAGCAGCCGCGGUAAUAC
rnacentral:rRNA from 1 species